rnacentral:rRNA from 1 species
GAUCCUGGCUCAGGAUGAACGCUGGCGGCGUGCCUAAUACAUGCAAGUCGAGCGAGAAUCUGAUGAAUGGAGAUUCGUCAAAAUGAUUCAGAGGAAAGCGGCGGACGGGUGAGUAACGCGUAGGCAACCUGCCCUUAGCAGAGGGAUAGCCAUUGGAAACGAUGAUUAAAACCUCAUAAUGCUUUUGAGUCACAUGUCUUGAAAAGCCAAAGAUUUAUCGGCUAAGGAUGGGCCUGCGUCUGAUUAACUAGUUGGUGGGGUAACGGGCUCACCAAGGUGACGAUCAGUAGCCGACCUGAGAGGGUGAUCGGCCACAUUGGAACUGAGACACGGUCCAAACUUCUACGGAAGGCAGCAGUAAGGAAUCUUGCACAAUGGGGAAACCCUGAUGCAGCAACGCCGCGUGAACGAUGAAGGCCUUCGGGUUGUAAAGUUCUGAUCUUAGGGAAGAAGAAGUGACGGUACCUAAGGAGAAAGCCCGGCUAACUACGUGCC